CUGGUUCAUUUAUUCAACAGAUAUUUUAGUGCCAACAACAUGUUGAGAUGAGUGCAGUUAGUCAUGGGCCUUGCAUAUAUAUUUUUGUCCUCGGGAGGCCAUCAGAAUAAGUCUGAUUAAUCUUCCCUGUGACAGUGCUUCAUAGUUUUAGAAGACAGUUAUUCUGAAAGAUGUGGGAAACUGUCCAUUUAUCUUUAUAAGAAGUUACUUCAUUUGGUCACUCUGUCCUAAGUGCCAUGUGCCAGUUGUUGUUUCAAGCACUUGGGCUACUGCUCUGCACAAGACAGACAUGGUCUUUGUCCUCAUAGAAACUAUAGUUUAUUGAGUAGUGCAUGUGUUGAACAAGUUAAUACAACAUUGAACAUUUUUAUAAGAAAGAAAUGAUGCCAUGAGACAUAGGCAGUAAGAGAGUAGGAUCUCUAACAACUCACCUUCAAAUUGAAGCCUAAAACACUGAGGUUGAGCAGAAUUCGAGAAAGAAUAUCCUAAGCUAGGGAACAGAGAGUACAAAGACCCCAUUUGAGAAACAGGAUGUCAUAUUUGGAACAAAGAUGGCUAUAGCAUAGUGUGGGAAGGAAAAGCGUUGAGAUAAAGCUGGAGGAACCAGGUCUUGAAGGGCUUUGUAACUUAAUUGGCAGGUUUUGUACUUACUUGAGCCAAAUGACAUGAAGGUGAGGUGUUUUAAGCAAGAUAGACACAAUCGGAUUUGAAUUCUAUAAAGAUUGCUCUGGCUUCAGUGUUCAGAAUGGAAUGGAAGUGAAUAGAGACAGGGAGAUAUGCCAGUGUUUCUUAAAAUGUGGCAUGCAUAUAAAUCAUAUGAGGAUCUUGUCAAAAUGUAGAUAAGUAGGGUUGGGUGAGCCCUGAGAUUCCACAUUUCUAACAAACUCCCAAGUGCAUGAAGAAGACUGGACUGAGAGAUGAUGGAAAGUAGAUAAAGUGAUAGCAGUAUAGAUGAAGAGAAGUGGAUGGAUUCAGCUAGAGCACCUGAAACAACUCAUAUUGAAGACUUUCUGGGGACUGGUAUUUAUCUUUCAAGCCAUCAAAGAACCUUCCAGAAGAGCCUAGAAUUGGUCUUUCUAAGCAUUGUGGAGAAGUCAGUAGAAGGAACUUUGCAUUCUGACAAAAAUGUAACAAUAGAAUAUCUGGCUGAAUAUUGAAUUUACUAAGAACAUAUAAUAUAUAACAAAGGAAAACAAUAGAUAAAUGAAUUAAUUUUUGUAACCAAACUCCUUCUGUGUUUUUUAAUGUCUUUCUGUAGCAUCUUAAGUUACCAGCUAACAUUUAUACAGUUUUCUCUUAGGCAGACAUUAAUUCACAAGAACCAAGACAUGCACUGAAAUAAUAGGGGCUACCUUAAAAGGCAUUCUCAUUUACACGGUUAUAUAUUCUUUGCAAAA
rnacentral:lncRNA from 13 species